UAUUACUCGGUUGCCUUGUGACUGUUUUUUUCAGUUAAAAGUAUUAAAGGAGGAAAAGGAAAUAUGACCACUAACUGUUUGAAACAAGUUGUCUUGUUUUUACAAUUCUAGAUGUGCAGUGUGCUACUACAUGCUGUUUGUGAAGUUCAACUAGAUCCUAUAUUUUUGUAGUUUCUUCUUGAGAAGGGACGGCAGUGCAUGAGUCUUUUACCAUAAACGAAUUUCUCUUUAACUUUUCCUUUUUAAGAAAAUUUGGAUUUUGUUAAGUGUUUUAUGUCUAACCACAAUUUCUUAGUGAUUAUUUAGAUUUAAGAAUUUCGGAAAUUUGAAGCCCUAAAUAAAUUUAAUUUCAGAUUCAAGCAAUGGUUUCUCAAACCUUUUUCUAGUUAUCCAGUAACAAGAAUCAUUUCAUCUCCUUCUGGUACUGACAAAUGUAAGUCAACUCUAGGUAUAGCGUCAUAGAAAAGUUGGAAAGGUUUCAAAGAAACUUUCCGUAGGUUUCGACAGGCAGGGAUAAGAAGUUUUACUUAGUGAGGUAGGACAUUGUUAUAACUUCCAAAUGUUGGGGUAGGUUUGGAGUUAAAGAUUUGAGGGUUUUCAAUAAGGCCUUACUAAGAAAGUGCCUAUGGAGGUUUGGGACAGAGGAACAUACUUUUAGGAAGAGGUAAUAGUGGAAACUAUGGGGUCUUGGAAGGGGCUCGGAGGAGUGAAAAGUUAACCACGCCUUAUGGUUGCAGGGUGUGGAGGAACAUUGUGAAGGGAUGGGAAGAUUUUAGCAGCCAUGUGUCUUUUUAGGGCAGGGGGGAAAGAAGAAGGAUAAGCUUUUAGGGACAGGGGUGGUGUGGGGACAACAUUUUGAGAUUUUCUUUUCUUAACAUUUACAACAUUUCAUGUUAAAAGGAGAUGACAGAACAACGAGUGCGGAUGAUACAAGGUGGAGAAUUUCUUUGGGAUUUGAUUUUUAGGAGGAACAUGCAAGAUUAUGAAGUGCCGGAAUUCCAAAGUUAGUUAAAUUGCGUAAUAAACAUUAGAACAUCACAGGAUAAUCAUGAUGAAUGGAGGUGAGUGCGAGGAACAAUGGAACAUUUUCUGUUAAGUCUUUCUAUGAGAAGCUUCUGGUCAGGGAGUAGGUUGCAUUCCCACAUAGAUCGAUUUGGAUCCCAAAGGUUUUGAGAAAGUUGUGUUCUUCACUUGGCUAACAACAACAUGACGGCCGAAAAUUUGAGGAAGGUUACAUACAUUAGCUGGUGUUUUAUGUGUAAAGGCUCGGGCGAAGAUGUUGACCAUCUUCUCCUUCAUUGUCAGGUAGCCUCGAUGUUGUGGUGGGAAAUCUUGUUGUUGGUUUGGAAUAUCUUGGGUUAUUUCAGACACUGUGAAAGAGUUAAUGUUCAGUUGGAAUUGCGGUAGGCGGUAGGUGGAAGAGAAGAUGCAAGGCAUGGAAUGUCCACUAGCUCUCAUGUAGCUCAUUUGGAGAGAAAGAAACAGCAGAGCUUUUGAAGAUGUUGAGAUGAACUUUGUACAAUUGAGGAAUAGCCUCUUAUCUCUUAUUUCUUUUUGGUGUACCCAUCAGCUUCCUUUAUGUAUAGUAGAUUGGAUGUCGUUCAUAAAAUUGUUUUCUACCUUUUUUUGGUAUAUUUGUUGUAUACGGGCGUUUCUAUGCCCACACUAUUAGUUAAAUUUGUUACUUCAUUAAGAAAAACUCUA